AGAAUCAACGCUGGCGGCGUGCCUCAGACAUGCAAGUCGAACGAUUAAACUUUCCUUCGGGAAAGAUAUAAAGUGGCGCACGGGUGAGUAACACGUAAGUAAUCUACCUUUGAGUGGGGAAUAACCCGGGGAAACCCGAGCUAAUACCGCAUAAUGCAGCGGCACCGCAAGGUGACAGUUGUUAAAGGAGCAAUCCGACUUAAAGGAGGAGCUUGCGGCAGAUUAGCUAGGUUGGUAAGGUAAUGCUUACCAAGGCUACGAUCUGUAACCGGUCUAAGAGGACGGUCGUCACACUGACACUAGAAUACGGGUCAGACUCCGACGGGAGCAGC
rnacentral:rRNA from 1 species